rnacentral:rRNA from 1 species
GAUGAACGCUAGCUACAGGCUUAACACAUGCAAGUCGAGGGGCAGCAUGAACUUAGCUUGCUAAGUUUGAUGGGCGACCGGCGCACGGGUGAGUAACACGUAUCCAACCUUCCGUUUACUCAGGGAUAGCCUUUCGAAAGAAAGAUUAAUACCUGAUAGUAUGGUGAGAUUGCAUGAUAGCACCAUUAAAGAUUUAUUGGUAAACGAUGGGGAUGCGUUCCAUUAGGUAGUAGGCGGGGUAACGGCCCACCUAGCCGACGAUGGAUAGGGGUUCUGAGAGGAAGGUCCCCCACAUUGGAACUGAGACACGGUCCAAACUCCUACGGGAGGCAGCAGUGAGGAAUAUUGGUCAAUGGGCGAGAGCCUGAACCAGCCAAGUAGCGUGAAGGAUGAAGGUCCUACGGAUUGUAAACUUCUUUUAUACGGGAAUAAAGUAUCCUACGUGUAGGAUUUUGUAUGUACCGUAUGAAUAAGCAUCGGCUAACUCCGUG